AACUCGUGUACUCUGAACGUACCCGUUCCAAAGUUCUCUCGUGUGCGUUCAUUUGAGUUUGUGCCAUGGAGAGUUCACGUGAGUUUAUUGCUGAGUGAGUUCGCUCCUUGGCUGGUUUCGGCAUUUCCCUGGUGAGUUCGCUCUUCUUCUUCUUCUUCUUUUUUGAAGCGAUGGUGAGUUUGCUCUUGUUUUUGUAGAAUUAUACUUUAUAUCUUUUAUUGAAAUAUCGGUUCGAAGAUUUAAGUUAUUGUACUUGUAUCUGGAUUCUGGAACAGAGAUCAGGGAUUGUACUUGCAAAUGGAUUCUGGAACAAAGUCCGGUAAAAAGAAAACCCAGUGUAAGUGUAAGAACCCCAAAUUAAACAUGGUCUAACUAACAGCCAGAAGUCGGUAAGAAGAAAACCCAGUUUGCGUAAGAACUCCAAGCAUGGUCUAAGUCUUAACACAUAUACUAUAGGAGAUCCAAAUAACCCCUAGAUAAAUCGACCAGCAACCCCUCCCUCAAGGACGACGCAGAAGACAUCCAGCCUGCAUAUUCACCAAGAGAUCGACGAUGGCGCCAUCCAAGAUCAUGGUGGCCUUGUUGCUCGCGUUGGC
rnacentral:lncRNA from 1 species